rnacentral:rRNA from 1 species
UACGGGGGGGGCAAGCGUUGUUCGGAAUUAUUGGGCGUAAAGAGCUCGUAGGCGGUCUGUUGCGUCGGCUGUGAAAACCCGGGGCUCAACCCCGGGCCUGCAGCCGAUACGGGCAGACUAGAGUUCGGCAGGGGAGACUGGAAUUCCCGGUGUAGUGGUGAAAUGCGCAGAUAUCAGGAGGAACACCGGUGGCGAAGGCGGUUCUCUGGGCCUGUACUGACGCUGAGGAACGAAAGCGUGGGGAGCGAACAGG